UACAUCCCUACUAAAGAUUCGUACAUUUUACUUCAUAGCAUGUGUAACCUUGAUUGUUUUCAUUUCUAGGAACUGUAAUGUGCGUACUUCGCAGUCGUCAUUCUUCUUGAGGAAACAAAGCCAUUCGGAGUUUCUAACCUUGGAUUAAAAUUGCACAGUUUACUGGUGGAAUAUUCAAUGUAUACUAGACUAAGCAUUUGCAACACAAAUAAAUGUCAGGAAACGGGAGAGCAAAUAAUGCGGAUGAAAUGUACUGCGAUCUGGUCCCAUCAACUGCCAACUAACCAGUUGUUCCCGUCCUAAAGGAUGAAAAUGUGCAACAGGAAAAGGAGCAAAACCUUGAUGAGCGAGGA